GAUGAACGCUGGCGGCGUGCCUAAUACAUGCAAGUCGAGCGAACAGACGAGGCGCUUGCUCCUCUGACGUUAGCGGCGGACGGGUGAGUAACACGUGGAUAACCUACCUAUAAGACUGGGAUAACUUCGGGAAACCGGAGCUAAUACCGUAUAAUAUAUUGAACCGCAUGGUUCAAUAGUGAAAGACGGUUUUGCUGUCACUUAUAGAUGGAUCCGCGCCGCAUUAGCUAGUUGGUAAGGUAACGGCUUACCAAGGCAACGAUGCGUAGCCGACCUGAGAGGGUGAUCGGCCACACUGGAACUGAGACACGGUCCAGACUCCUAAGGGAGGCAGCAGUAGGGAAUCUUCCGCAAUGGGCGAAAGCCUGACGGAGCAACGCCGCGUGAGUGAUGAAGGUCUUCGGAUCGUAAAACUCUGUUAUUAGGGAAGAACAAAUGUGUAAGUAACUAUGCACGUCUUGACGGUACCUAAUCAGAAAGCCACGGCUAGCUACGUG
rnacentral:rRNA from 1 species